GACGAACGCUGGCGGCGUGCUUAACACAUGCAAGUCGAACGGAAAGGCCCUGCUUUUGUGGGGUGCUCGAUUGGCGAACGGGUGAGUAACACGUGAGUAACCUGCCCUUGUCUUUGGGAUAACUUCACGAAACUGGGGCUAAUAUCGGAUAGGAGCUCCUGCUGCAUGUUGGGGGUUGGUAAGUUUCGGCGGUUGGGGAUGGACUCGCGGCUUAUCGGCUUGUUGGUGGGGUAGUGGCUUACCAAGGCUUUGACGGGUAGCCGGCCUGAGAGGGUUACCGGCCACAUGGGGACUGAGGUACGGCCCAGACUGCUACGGGAGGCAGCAGUGGGGAAUAUUGCACAAUGGGCGGAAGCCUGAUGCAGCAACGCCGCGUGCGGGAUGACGGGCUUCGGGUUGUAAACCGCUUUCGCCUGUGACGAAGCGUGAGUGACGGUAAUGGGUAAAGAAGCACCGGCUAACUACGUG
rnacentral:rRNA from 1 species